AUGUCGGGCCGCGGCAAGGGAGGGAAGGGGCUGGGCAAGGGCGGCGCCAAGCGCCACCGGAAGGUGCUCCGGGACAACAUCCAGGGCAUCACCAAGCCGGCCAUCCGUCGUCUCGCUCGCCGUGGCGGCGUGAAGCGCAUCUCGGGGCUCAUCUACGAGGAGACCCGCGGCGUGCUCAAGAUCUUCCUGGAGAACGUCAUCCGCGACGCCGUCACCUACACCGAGCACGCCCGCCGCAAGACCGUCACCGCCAUGGACGUCGUCUACGCGCUCAAGCGCCAGGGCCGCACCCUCUACGGAUUCGGCGGCUAG
rnacentral:rRNA from 1 species